GAGAAAGAGUUGCGACAGUCCCAUUGGACUCCGUUGUACGCUUUUUGCCGCCUACUUCCGGGGUAUGCAGCCUCGCGUAGUUCCAAAAAGCCAUUCUAUGGCGUUGGACAUCAUACACUUCCAUUGCUGACUGUCGAGUAACUUCUGAGGUAAGUUGAUUAAAUAGCUACCUGUUUUGAAUUGUCAACUGUCUAUAUUGUAUCAUAGGCCCUUUAUGAUGCAUAUACUGAUCUUUUGUUGUAUGUACACAGCGUAAUUAUAUAUAUAUAUAUUUUUUAUCUUGGUAGACGACCGAUUGCCUGCUAGUUUGUUAGCUUGACUUGCCUUCUGUGAAGGUAACGUUAUAUCCAGGGGUAAAUUGAUUAAAUAGCUACCUGUUUUGAAUUGUCAACUGUCUAUAUUUUAUCAGAGGCCCUUUAUGAUGCAUAUACUGAUCUUUAUUUGUAUGUACACAGCGUAAUUAUAUAUAUGUUUUAUCUUGGUAGACCACCGAUUGCCUGCUAGUUUGUUAGCUUGACUUCGCCCUCUGUAAAGGUAACGUUAACGUUAUAUCCAGGCGUAAAUUCAUUAGCUACCUCUUUUGAAUUGUCAACUCUGUAUAUUAUAUAAAUAGGCCCUUUAUGGUGCAUAUGCUUAUAUUUAUUUGUAUGUGCACAGUGCAAUUUAUAUAUAUUUUCUUAACUUGGUAGACAACCGAUUUUCAGUCAUUGCCUGCUACUUAGUUAUCUCGAUUUUGCGAGCUGUGAAGAAGGUAUCGCUACACCAAAAAUUACGAAGUUCAGUAGUGAAUCUCUGACAUAUUUUAUUUGGUAAAUUAUUGAUGUUAGAUUACUAGGAUCAUUAAGGUUGAUUAAGGACGUUUUUUUUUAGGUUGUAUCUGCUGAACCUGGCGGUGUUAGCUAGUCAGCUGAGUACUGUGUAUCUGAUGCUAGUAGAAAUAAGGUUUGUUUAAUUACACCCUUGAAAGGGCUGUUGGAUUGCAUGUAAGAAUACAAAUUAUUUUACACAAAAAAUUAUCAUAAGCCAUAAUGAGCUUUAAAAUGUUUAUUACUCAGACAGUAGUGUGACUAAUUUGUUUCUGUUGCUGGUCCCGGUCAUUUGCAGGUUUUUGCGGCUGACCAUUGUCAUCCAUAUUUUCAUGCGAUCUUUGUCCUUGGGGAAGCCAUUCAUGCGGUAACCCUUCUCGGACCGAUUGGUGCAUCCAAAUGCUGCACAGCCAACCAUGUGUCCAGGACACAGAUGAAGAGGAUGUUAGUAUGCGUUGUCGAGAGGAACUGCCCUACAGUGACUGGCCAUAGUGAAUAGUGGAACUCCACAGGUGUGAGUCUGAUGUAUGCAAGAGAAAGUAUUUUCUAGGCAGUCCUGAGUGAACUGGCUUGUUAGAAUAUAUUUGUGCCCCUGUCUCAACAGAACUUGCUGGACCACCAGUAUCGUUGUUGUGGCCACUGUACGUAUGUUUGUUGAUAUUAUUCAUGCUUGUUCCUUGUUCAUGCUUGUUCACAUUUUUUUUUGUUCCACACUGUUCAUUUUUAUCUUAUGCCAGGUACCUUUAUUAUGAAUGUUGUCCUUCCUUUCAGCCCUGAUGCAUUCUGAAGCCUGAUGUAUGUGGAGGAUUUUUUUUUAUGUAUUAAUCACUUAUAAUAUUC